UUUUCUUUGCAAACUCCUUUGACUACGAUGACCUGGAUGACUGAGAACCUUCACAGAUUUAUUUCAAUUUAUAUGCAUUUGUUUAAUCCGAACAAGGAGAUUUAGAAUCAAAGUCAGAGUCACAAAAAACUCUCGCGAUCAUAAACGCACCGCGGCUCCCAACAUUAAAAACUUCCUGAAAAAAACUCUUUUCUCCAAAACACGCGCAACAAAAAAACCCUAGAAUAACUUGUAGGGAACCCUCUAUACCCAAAGCCUUAUAUUUGAAAAAAGGGGAAAUCCUGAAAAAAUCCUUAGUCUUUUUUCUUCAAACCAGCCCUCUACUAGCUCCGUCUCAAAUUCAGCAAAGUCUAAGUUCUCCUUUCGCUCUGACUCGCAUCGAACCUCUCCCAGAGCAGCAUCUUUUUCCUUCUGUUCGCUCCCCGGCUCAUCCCCGAAUGCUGCUUACCUAGUUUGAAAAUUUGCACCAGAGACCAACUCCGCCUCCCAGGCGUGCCUAACUCGCCCCGCUGCCAAUCACAUAACAAAGGGGCGGCUCCCCUCGCACCCCGGUUAGCCAAUCGGCUGCAGGUCCGAUGGAGGAGAGAUUCAGGCUCAACACCGGUGGGCUUUGGGGCUAUGCUUUCAGCCUUAGAGAGAGCAAAAUCUAUUUCUACCAGCUAAAAGCGGGUGAAGGUUUUGGCCCGCUAACACCGCGGAUCGUCUUUACUUCGUCUGAUUGGGGUGUUUUGAGCCUCAUCGCUACGCCCGAAGUGCAGAAGAGCCUGCGGGACGAGCUCGCAACAACCGCGAACCAGGGAUCAACAACAACUCGCCUCGCUUUCCCUAUGUGCAUAUCAGUUGACUCUGAUUUAAGCCAGAUGUGUUCACCUGAUCCCUGCGAAACACCAGCUCUGCGUGGAUUUUGACCGCGAGUGACCGGAUGUUGUUUCCGGCCUGAGGUUGCCUGAAAUGCCGUCAGGCUCGUUUGAAAGAUUGCGCCCUAGACCAACUCCGCCUCCAAGGCGUGCCUACCUUUAGCUGCCACCAGUGAGAUAUCAGAGCCGGGCUCCACAUAUCCAAUCAGGAGCACGAGCAAGACAGCUUUUGCAGACUCGCCAGAAAUAUACAAAUCCUUACCAACUGCUCUGCAACCCAGUGUUUCUGGUCCCCUCACUAACAUCGCUUUUUGAGAUAUUUUUUUUUAUGAACCACCAAAAAGAGACAUUUUACCCCCCAGUACAGAAGACUGGAUCUGAGGGCAGCAGCAGCGGGGACAAAUGCUUGUAAUGAAGCGACGGACAUUUCAUGGCUGAUCUUAGAUAAUCGUGAGUUAUUGUGUCUUAUGGUGAAAAGUAGUUUUGCAAGAGGCAUGCAAGCACUGUGGAAAAAGUAAUCGUGUGUAAGUCCUCUAAAACUGUUUUUUGUGAACACUUUGCUCCCCACGUUAUGCUUUAAAAAAUUUGAUACAUGUAAUGUGAUCAUCAAAGAACAUGAGUUUUUAAAAAGACUUUUAUUCUUAUGCUUUUAAAACUAUCUCAGAUUAUCAUAAAACACUUAUUUGUAUGUUAUAAUGUUUUUCUUACACCAUGUGUAAUUUUCAUUCACACCUUGUUCAUUGUAUCAAUGUGUAAUUAUGUAUCUUUGAUAAAUAAAUAAAAUAUUUAAUCUUG